rnacentral:rRNA from 1 species
UAAUACGGAGGGUGCAAGCGUUGUCCGGAUUUAUUGGGUUUAAAGGGUGCGUAGGCGGCCAUGUAAGUCAGGGGUGAAAGACUGCAGCUUAACUGUAGCAGUGCCUUUGAUACUGUGUGGCUUGAGUGUAGCUGAGGCAGAUGGAAUGGGUGGUGUAGCGGUGAAAUGCAUAGAUACCAUCCAGAACACCGAUUGCGAAGGCAGUCUGCUAAACUACAACUGACGCUGAGGCACGAAAGCGUGGGGAUCGAACAG